AAAACUCCGGAAUUUGAAGGGUGAUGAGUUGAGCACUUUACUCAAGAAUGAAUGAAUUAAUUAUAUAUAUAUAUAUAUAUAUAUAUAUAUAUAUGUAUGUAUGUAUUGUUUCAGAUAUGAUAAGUUUGANAUAUAUAUAUAUAUAUAUAUAUAUAUAUAUAUGUAUGUAUGUAUGUUUUCAGAUAUGAUAAGUUUGAUGUAUUUAGCGGAAUUUUAAAAAAAGACAGAUGAUGGCAUUGGAGACGUAUCCAAUUAUUUAAGGUUGUCUGGUUUACCUCUCUCUUCUUUUUAUCUUUUCUCCAUUUCUGUAUUUUCAGUACUGUGUAAAUGAAUUGGUUGCCGAUUGCCAAUCUCUCCCUCAAAAAGAAGAGCACGCCUGCCUUCAAAAAGUCUUUCUACUCAAUCAGACAAACAAAAAAUAAAAAGAGAGAGAGAGAGAAAAGCCUCUGAUUAGUUGCAGUUGCAGUGAAUCUAAAGCUUGGGUG
rnacentral:lncRNA from 1 species